rnacentral:rRNA from 1 species
CAGCAGCCCGGUAAAACGUAGGUGGCAAGCGUUGUCCGGAAUUAUUGGGCGUAAAGGGCUCGCAGGCGGUUUCUUAAGUCUGAUGUGAAAGCCCCCGGCUCAACCGGGGAGGGUCAUUGGAAACUGGGAAACUUGAGUGCAGAAGAGGAGAGUGGAAUUCCACGUGUAGCGGUGAAAUGCGUAGAGAUGUGGAGGAACACCAGUGGCGAAGGCGACUCUCUGGUCUGUAACUGACGCUGAGGAGCGAAAGCGUGGGGAGCGAACAGGAUUAGAUACCCCUGUAGUCCCUGUCUCUUAUACC